UCAUCUUCGGGGGUAGAGCACUGUUUCGGCUAGGGGGUCAUCCCGACUUACCAACCCGAUGCAAACUACGAAUACCGAAGAAUGUUAUCACGGGAGACACACGGCGGGUGCUAACGUCCGUCGUGAAGAGGGAAACAACCCAGACCGCCAGCUAAGGUCCCAAAGUCAUGGUUAAGUGGGAAACGAUGUGGGAAGGCACAGACAGCCAGGAUGUUGGCUUAGAAGCAGCCAUCAUUUAAAGAAAGCGUAAUAGCUCACUGGUCGAGUCGGCCUGCGCGGAAGAUGUAACGGGGCUAAACCAUGCACCGAAGCUGCGGCAGCGAC
rnacentral:rRNA from 2 species